rnacentral:lncRNA from 1 species
CGUUUCGAAGUCACUCAGAGACCGACUUCCGGGUUCUUUCGUCCCGCCCCUCCGUUUAGAAGUCACUCAGAGACCGACUUCCGGAUUCUUUUGUCCCGCCCCCCGUUUAGAAGUCACUCAGAGACCGACUUCCGGGUUUUUUUCUCCGCCCCGCGAUUUGCCCACAGACGGGUAAUAAUCAUAAUCAUAAUCAUAAUUAUUAUUGUUGUUGUUGUUGUUUUGCAAGGCCGGGCUCAGGGCGGCUAACAAGCAAGUUGGAAUGAAUACAAUUUAAAAACAAAAUUAAAAUACAACAUUAAAAUAUUGAAACAUUAAAAUAUUAAAAAGGGUAAAGCUUGUUAUCAGCCUAGCCGCUUGGAUGGUUUUCCGAUUUCAAUAUAACUUCUUAUAUUUAUCUACAGUAUAGCUGUCAACUUACAGAUUUGAAAACAAGGGACCAGCAGCCUCGAAAAUAAGGGAUCAGCAGCCAAAAUAAGGGAUUUUGCUUAACUUAUACAUAAAUCCGCCACUGAUGGAGCCAGGCUGCUUUGGCUGCCCCUGACUGUGUUUUGCAGGGGUUUGAACCAGAUGAUCCUAAGGGUCUACAACUCCCACCAAAGAAGAGUGGCAGACAAAACUGAUGAACGACGUCAAGAUGGCAAAGCUUACAGGCAGAAUUAGAAACCAGGAAGAGGACCUCUUUAAUCAAGAAUGGGGAAAGUUUAUAAUUUAUUGGAAAAGCUAUUGUAAAGAUUGGUAGGAUUGACAGAAAACUUGUAGUAAAAAUUUCAACUAUGGAUGGACAAAUGAUUUAUAAAAAUAGAGUUAGGAAAGGGAUGCAGAGGGGGAAAUCACUACAUUAAGAUGCUGCACUGGCUGGAGGGGAUGCUAAGCAGCACGUUGCGGCUGCCGUUGUCCUGGAGCGAGGAGAUCCAUCGGCCCUUCCCCGCCCGAGAGAGAGGGAGGAAGGGAGACUCUUGCCCACGCUGCCAGUGAGCCCGGCAUGAGGCGGUUGUGGCGCCACGGCGGCCACUGAAGUGCCGCCCCUCUGCGUCCCGAGCCGGGCGAGCAUGAAACCCGGGAAAUUUAAGGGACAUCAUCAGUCCGGGACAGCAGCGGGAAACGGCGCUGGGAUAAGGGAGUUUCCUGCCAAAUAAGGGACGGUUGACAGCUAUGAUCUACAGUGGCACCUUUGGUAAAUCUUUCGUAAUAUGGGGCCCUGUACGAAACCAAAUAGGUCUUCUCAAUUAUGAAUCUUCUUAAUUUUAUGCCCCCUUGACUCUGCGUCCUGUGCAGAGGAGCCACUCACAUCGCCCUAAAUCUGGCGCUACUGCAAUGCAGGAAUCUCACCCAGAUCAUCCAUGACAAGUGGUCGCCCAACCUGCUUAAAAACCUCCAAGGAAGAAGAGUCGGAACAGCUCUUACCGUCAGAAAAUUCUUCCAGAUGUUUAGUCGGAAUCUGCUUUCCACUAACUUAAAACCAUUGGUUUGGGUCCUCCCCUCCAGAGCAGGAGAAAACAAGCUUGCUUCAUCUUCCAUGUGGCCAUUAGCUAUUUGAAGGUGGCAAUAUGCAAACAGCUGAAUCUUUCAGCUUCAUGUGCCUCUCCCACCCUGUGUCAUGGACACAGACCUCCUUCUGAGCUGACGCCGCAGGAGUUUUAGGGGCCUCUUCUCCCCUACCUCCAACCUUACCUUGUUUCGGGUCCAUAGCUAUGAGGUCUUACUGCUUCAGAGCCCCUGACAGAAUGGGGCCCAGGAACGCCUCAGGGAGCCCAUGGCACCACUCCCAUAACAAAAACUACCAUAGAGAUCUGAAAAUUUUCAGAAGUAGGCAGUCUAUGGCUUGGCUUUUGAAAGAGGGGGUCCGCAGUACUUAGCUAAUCGGAAACCACUGCUCCAGCACAAGGAUUAACUCUAGUGUAACAGAAUUUCAUCCUUCUCCUCCCAUGCUGUCCCCAAAUCUGCUCUGGGGGUUGGGGGAAAGUCCAAAACAGAUUUAGGAGAAUGUAGGGUUCAAAUCCCCAUGACGGGGUGAGCUCCCCUUGCUCAGUCCCAGCUCCUGCCCACCUAGCAGUUCGAAAGCACGUCAAAGUUCAAGUAGAUAAAUAGGUACCACUCCGGCGGGAAGGUAAACGGCGCUUCCAUGCGCUGCUCUGGUUCGCCAGAAGCGGCUUAGUCAUGCUGGCCACAUGACCUGGAAGCUGUACGCCGGCUCCCUCGGCCAAUAAAGUGAGAUGAGCGCCGCAACCCCAGAGUCGGUCCCGUCUGGACCUAAUGGUCAGGGGUCCUUUUACCUUUACCUUAGGGGGAGAACAGGGAGAGAAAAUUAUGGUAUGUUGUGCAGUGAGAAACCCUUGCACUGAUGAAACAUUCACCUGAUUUAUUUCUUAAAAUAUUUAUAGACCACACUUUCAUAAAAUUGCAACAAAUUACAAUAAAAUAAAUAAAAACAUCAGUACUGGUUGGUGAAAAGAAAUGCUCAAUGAAAACGUCUGUCUGAAUAACUGUUUUUAGGGGAUGUCUAAAAGAAGGCAGAAUUUGAGAACAUAAAAACAGCCUGCUGGAUCAGGCUAGUGGCCCACCUGGAGCAGCAUCCUCUUCUCACAGUGGCCAAUGACAUGCCUGCGGGAAACCUGCAAGCAAGAUUUGAGCACAAGAGCGCUCUCCCCUCCUGUGGUUCCCAUAAACUGGUAUUCAGAAGCCUGGCUGCCUCGCAACAGUGGAUGCAGAGAGGGGAGAAAAACUCUUCUCUCUCCACGCCAUGCAUAAUUUUAUAAACAUCUAUCAUGUCGCCCCCUUGCAUUUUCAUUAAACCAAAAUGUCCCAAA